UUCUGAUAAAGUUCCAGAUAUUGCUCCGAAACUGGUUGAGGAUAUUGAGAAAGAUAUUAAGAAAAGACUUCCAAAGAAGUUGGUUGAUGUAAUCUUCGUCAUGGGUUCUGCUGAUCCAAAUGGU